CCUACGGGGGGCAGCAGUGGGGAAUUUUGGACAAUGGGCGCAAGCCUGAUCCAGCCAUGCCGCGUGCGGGAAGAAGGCCUUCGGGUUGUAAACCGCUUUUGUCAGGGAAGAAACGCUCUGGGCUAAUACCUCGGGGUAAUGACGGUACCUGAAGAAUAAGCACCGGCUAACUACGUGCCAGCAGCCGCGGUAAUACGUAGGGUGCAAGCGUUAAUCGGAAUUACUGGGCGUAAAGCGUGCGCAGGCGGUUAUGCAAGACAGAUGUGAAAUCCCCGGGCUUAACCUGGGAACUGCAUUUGUGACUGCAUAGCUAGAGUACGGUAGAGGGGGAUGGAAUUCCGCGUGUAGCAGUGAAAUGCGUAGAUAUGCGGAGGAACACCGAUGGCGAAGGCAAUCCCCUGGACCUGUACUGACGCUCAUGCACGAAAGCGUGGGGAGCAAACAGGAUUAGAUACCCGAGUAGUC
rnacentral:rRNA from 1 species